AGAUUGAACGCUGGCGGCAUGCUUUACACAUGCAAGUCGAGCGGCAGCGCGGGAGCAAUCCUGGCGGCGAGCGGCGAACGGGUGAGGAAUACAUCGGAACGUGCCCGAGAGUGGGGGAUAACGCCGCGAAAGCGGCGCUAAUACCGCAUAUUCUCCGAGGAGGAAAGUGGGGGACCUGCAAGGGCCUCACGCUCACGGAGCGGCCGAUGUCGGAUUAGCUAGUUGGUGGGUAAAGGCUUAACAAGGCGACGAUCCGUAGCUGGUCUGAGAGGAUGAUCAGCCACGACGUGGACUGAGACGACGGCCUAGACUCCUACGGGAGCAGCAGGUGGGUAUUUGGACAGUCGGGGGCAACCCGUGAUCCAGCCA
rnacentral:rRNA from 1 species